rnacentral:rRNA from 1 species
GUAGGGAAUAUUGGACAAUGGGCGGAAGCCUGAUCCAGCCAUGCCGCGUGUGUGAAGAAGGCCUUUUGGUUGUAAAGCACUUUAAGCGAGGAGGAGGCUACCGAGAUUAAUACUCUUGGAUAGUGGACGUUACUCGCAGAAUAAGCACCGGCUAACUCUGUGCCAGCAGCCGCGGUAAUACAGAGGGUGCCAGCGUUAAUCGGAUUUACUGGGCGUAAAGCGCGCGUAGGUGGCCAAUUAAGUCAAAUGUGAAAUCCCCGAGCUUAACUUGGGAAUUGCAUUCGAUACUGGUUGGCUAGAGUAUGGGAGAGGAUGGUAGAAUUCCAGGUGUAGCGGUGAAAUGCGUAGAGAUCUGGAGGAAUACCGAUGGCGAAGGCAGCCAUCUGGCCUAAUACUGACACUGAGGUGCGAAAGCAUGGGGAGCAAACAGGAUUAGAAACCCCUGUAGUCC